UGGGGAAUAUUGGACAAUGGGCGCAAGCCUGAUCCAGCAAUGCCGCGUGUGUGAAGAAGGCCUUCGGGUUGUAAAGCACUUUUAUCAGGAGCGAAAUACUACGGGUUAAUAACCUGUGGGGCUGACGGUACCUGAGGAAUAAGCACCGGCUAACUUCGUGCCAGCAGCCGCGGUAAUACGAAGGGUGCAAGCGUUAAUCGGAAUUACUGGGCGUAAAGCGUGCGUAGGCGGUUUGUUAAGUCUGCUGUGAAAUCCCCGGGCUCAACCUGGGAAUGGCAGUGGAUACUGGCAAGCUAGAGUGUGUCAGAGGAUGGUGGAAUUCCCGGUGUAGCGGUGAAAUGCGUAGAGAUCGGGAGGAACAUCAGUGGCGAAGGCGGCCAUCUGGGACAACACUGACGCUGAGGCACGAAAGCGUGGGGAGCAAACA
rnacentral:rRNA from 1 species